GUAGGUGAACCUGCGGAAGGAUCAUUAACGAAUGUAUGUCUGCUUUGUGAACUGGGUGGUAGAGGGGGAUGUUAAAGGGGUGUUGAAAUUUUUUAAUCAUGGCUUUAUUUAACGCUGUGGCUUUAAUUAACAAUGUGGCUUUAGAUAAGGGUUUGAUUAAAAGCUGUGGCUUUAAUUAAACAACCUUUAUUUAAACACUGCAGCUUUCAUUAAACAACCUUUAAUAUUACCAUCUCGUCCCACAACGUGU
rnacentral:misc_RNA from 1 species